GAUGAACGCUGGCGGCGUGCCUAAUACAUGAAAGUCGAGCGAACGGACGAGAAGCUUGCUUCUCUGAUGUUAGCGGCGGACGGGUGAGUAACACAUGGAUAACCUACCUAUAAGACUGGGAUAACUUCGGGAAACCGGAGCUAAUACCGGAUAAUAUUUUGAACCGCAUGGUUCAAAAGUGAAAGACGGUCUUGCUGUCACUUAUAGAUGGAUCCGCGCUGCAUUAGCUAGUUGGUAAGGUAACGGCUUACCAAGGCAACGAUGCAUAGCCGACCUGAGAGGGUGAUCGGCCACACUGGAACUGAGACACGGUCCAGACUCCUACGGGAGGCAGCAGUAGGGAAUCUUCCGCAAUGGGCGAAAGCCUGACGGAGCAACGCCGCGUGAGUGAUGAAGGUCUUCGGAUCGUAAAACUCUGUUAUUAGGGAAGAACAUAUGUGUAAGUAACUGUGCACAUCUUGACGGUACCUAAUCAGAAAGCCACGGCUAACUACGUG
rnacentral:rRNA from 1 species